rnacentral:rRNA from 1 species
GAUGAACGCUGGCGGCGUGCCUAAUACAUGCAAGUCGAGCGAACAGACGAGGAGCUUGCUCCUCUGACGUUAGCGGCGGACGGGUGAGUAACACGUGGAUAACCUACCUAUAAGACUGGGAUAACUUCGGGAAACCGGAGCUAAUACCGGAUAAUAUAUUGAACCGCAUGGUUCAAUAGCGAAAGACGGUUUUGCUGUCACUUAUAGAUGGAUCCGCGCCGCAUUAGCUAGUUGGUAAGGUAACGGCUUACCAAGGCAACGAUGCGUAGCCGACCUGAGAGGGUGAUCGGCCACACUGGAACGGAGACACGGACCAGACUCCUACGGGAGGCAGCAGUAGGGAAUCUUCCGCGAGGGGCGAAAGCCUGACGGAGCAACGCCGCGUGAGUGAUGAAGGUCUUCGGAUCGUAAAACUCUGUUAUUAGGGAAGAACAAAUGUGUAAGUAACUAUGCACGUCUUGACGGUACCUAAUCAGAAAGCCACGGCUAACUACGU